rnacentral:lncRNA from 1 species
AUGGCCGAGCAGGACGCGGGCGGGCGGCGGGGCCUGGAGGCGCUGCAGGUGGGCCGGGCGGGGAGGGGACGGCGGCGGUGCAGGGGGAGGGGGGAGGGAGGGGAGGCAGGGAGCCCCGCUGCCCGGGUCACCCGGCUCUUGGGGACCCUCCGCCCCAGGGUCACUCGGCUCCUGGGGGCCCCCCCCUCCCCCCGGGUCACCCGGCUCCUGGGGACCCCCCGCCACUCCCCGGGUCACCCGGCUCGUGGGGACCCCCCGCCCCUCCCCGGGUCACCCGGCUCGUGGGGAGCCCCCGCCCCUCCCCGGGUCACCCGGCUCCUGGGGACCCCCCCGCCACUCCCCGGGUCACCCGGCUCCUGGGGACCCCCCGCCCCUCCCCGGGUCACCCGGCUCCUGGGGGCCCCCCGCCCAUCCCCGGGUCACCCGGCUGGUGGGGGCCCCCCGCCACUCCCCGGGUCACCCGGCUCCUGGGGACCCCCCCCGCCACUCCCCGGGUCACCCGGCUCCUGGGGACCCCCCCGCCCCUCCCCGGGUCACCCGGCUCCUGGGGACCCCCCGCCACUCCCCGGGUCACCCGGCUCCUGGGGACCCCCCCGCCCUCCCCGGGUCACCCGGCUCGUGGGGACCCCCCGCCCCUCCCCGGGUCACCUGGCUCCUGGGGACCCCCCCGCCACUCCCCGGGUCACCCGGCUCGUGGGGACCCCCCCGCCCCUCCCCGGGUCACCCGGCUCCUGGGGACCCCCUGCCCCUCCCCGGGUCACCCGGCUCCUGGGGACCCCCCGCCCCUCCCCGGGUCAGCUGGCUCAUGGGGACCCCCCGCCCCUCCCCGGGUCAGCCGGCUCGUGGGGACCCCCCGCCCAUCCCCGGGUCACCCGGCUGGUGGGGGCCCCCCGCCACUCCCCGGGUCACCCGGCUCCUGGGGACCCCCCCGCCACUCCCCGGGUCACCCGGCUCCUGGGGAGCCCCCGCCCCUCCCCGGGUCACCCGGCUCCUGGGGACCCCCCGCCCCUCCCCGGGUCAGCUGGCUCAUGGGGACCCCCCGCCCCUCCCCGGGUCACCCGGCUCGUGGGGAGCCCCCGCCCCUCCCCGGGUCACCCGGCUCGUGGGGAGCCCCCGCCCCUCCCCGGGUCACCCAGCUCGUGGGGACCCCCCGCCCCUCCCCGGGUCACCCGGCUCGUGGGGAGCCCCCGCCCCUCCCCGGGUCACCCGGCUCGUGGGGAGCCCCCGCCCCUCCCCGGGUCACCCGGCUCCUGGGGACCCCCCCGCCCCUCCCCUGGUCACCCGGCUCCUGGGGACCCCCCGCCCCUCCCCGGGUCACCCGGCUCCUGGGGAGCCCCCGCCCCUCCCCGGGUCACCCGGCUCGUGGGGAGCCCCCUGCCCCUCCCCGGGUCACCCGGCUCCUGGGGACCCUCCGCCCCUCCCCGGGUCACCCGGCUCGUGGGGACCCCCCGCCCCUCCCCGGGUCACCCGGCUCCUGGGGACCCCCCGCCCCUCCCCGGGUCACCCGGCUCGUGGGGACCCCCCGCCCCUCCCCGGGUCACCUGGCUCCUGGGGACCCCCCCGCCACUCCCCGGGUCACCUGGCUCCUGGGGACCCCCCUCCGCCCUCCCCGGGUCACCCGGCUCCUGGGGACCCCCCCGCCCCUCCCCGGGUCAGCCGGCUCCUGGGGACCCCCCGCCCCUCCCCGGGUCACCCGGCUCGUGGGGACCCCCCCCCAUGCCCUCCCCGGGUCUCCCGGCUGCUGGGGACCCCCCGCUGCCCUGGGUCACUUGGUUCACUAGCGGGUACAGGACGCUGUUGGCCCCUGACUUUGUCCUGCUCCUUCUCGGGGUUGUUUCCCCCUGGGCUCGCCGAUCCGGGCGCCGCGGGUCCGGGUGUGCAGCAGCUGUCGCCGCGGGGUCCUCCUUCCCACGGGCGUCCCCGUUCCCACGGGGGCCACCUCCUCGCCCUGCUCCCCCGCCGUGGGCAGCUCGAUGA